CAAACGGUUUUUUUAAAAGCCACGAUGUGAAUAUAUUGUAAAUUUU
rfam:Gorilla gorilla gorilla genomic chromosome, chr11, whole genome shotgun sequence